rnacentral:rRNA from 1 species
GAUGAACGCUAGCGGCAGGCUUAAUACAUGCAAGGCGAGGGGGCAGCAAUGUCACCGUCGUACGGGUGCGUAACGCGUAUGCAACCUACCUUCAACUGGGGGAUAGCCCGGGGAAACCCGGAUUAAUACCGCAUAACACAAUGAGGUCUCAUGGUUUUAUUGUUAAAGAUUUUAUUGGUUGAAGAUGGGCAUGCGUUCGA